GGUUAACCUGUGGAAUUUAGAAACACUUAAUGCAAAGUAGUGACCAAAUCCACACUCCUCUUUCCUGUCCCAUGAUUUUCUUAGAGACCUAGUGGUCCAUUGGGAAGCUUGCCUGAAAAGACCUGAUAAAACAACCAAAUAGGGAUUGAGUUGCCUUUGAAAGUGACAAUGCAAAAACUAUUGAUUUGGUUCUUCCUGGGUUUGAUCUAUUCUUUAUCCAGCACAACAGAAAACUGCUUGAUCACAAGCAUGAAAGAAGAAAAACACACCCAAUUCUCUUAUCCCCAAGAGGAAAGAGAUGGACUGGCACAAGGGCUGCUGCAGUUUGGCAUUGUGUUUAGGGAGCAGGUAAGGCAAAGCAAACAGCAAAUCUGCCACAUGUUUCAACAGCUGGAUGCUUUUGACCGCUCUUUGGCUGAGCUGUUGAAACAAGUCAGCCGACAGGAGAGACUGAGGAUUUGCCUGAAGCAGAGAGCUAGGCAGCUUGAGAGGAGGGAUGGAGAUCUUUAUCAGCUGCUUGCUAGGCUCAAGAAUGAACUUGUCCGAGGAAUGAAAUAUAGAGAAAGCUUUGACAAGAACCUAGAGUUGCUAGAGCAAAAGAUUGAAGAUGCCUUGUUCUAUAAGGCAGGUGGGAAUACCUUGACGAAUGUGACUGACGUUAUGUCUCUUUUGCAAACACAAAGUGUGAGAAUAAACAAGAUUUUUGCAGAUGUGGAAAUUCAGCAAGAUCAACUAAGUGAACGAGAUGCUUUAAUUCAAAAAUUACUGAAAAAGGCAAGAUGCAAAAGCAAACUCACUAAGCACUCAAGGAACAAUGAAGAUGAGAAGAACAUGUCUGAAGUUUAGGAGAAAGAGAGGCCUCUAUCUUUGUGUAUUGUCCUACCCUAAAUAGUUUGAGUAGAUUUUAAUAAAGCAAUGGUCCCUGAUGGGAGCA
rnacentral:lncRNA from 1 species